rnacentral:rRNA from 1 species
CUCUACAGCCGUAUCACCCUGAAUGUGCCUGAUCUCAUGUAAUCUUAGAAGCUAAACAGGGUCAGGCUUGGUUAACACUUGGAUGAGAGA